rnacentral:rRNA from 1 species
UACGUAGGGGGCUAGCGUUGUCCGGAAUCAUUGGGCGUAAAGAGCGCGUAGGCGGCCAGAUAAGUCCGGUGUGAAAGUCAAAGGCUCAACCUUUGAAUGCCGCUGGAAACUAUUCGGCUAGAGUCCGGAAGAGGAGAGUGGAAUUCCUGGUGUAGCGGUGAAAUGCGCAGAUAUCAGGAAGAACACCUAUGGCGAAAGCAGCUCUCUGGGACGGUACUGACGCUGAGACGCGAAAGCGUGGGGAGCGAACAGG